UCCUGCAGGCCUUCCACUCCAUCCAACAGCCAAAGUAGCUCUGGAGGCUGAUGGAGGCCUUAUUUCAGCCUAAUCAGGCCAUCACGCCAUUGUCAAUCAACUGUAGCAUCCCUUGUAAACUCAGGGCCACCCUCUGAGUGCUCUCCAAUCAGCAUUUCCAGUUUCUGGUUUUCUCAAUACCUCCGCUUGCUCAAGAUUUCCAUCCUGAUGAAGGAGGUCAAGUCACAGGUCCCUGAACCCCUGCUUCCACUUGCCUUACUCUUUUCCCUCCACAGGGGCCUUUCUCCAGAGACAUGAGACAGUUUCCCUUUCAUGCCCGCUCAGGAUUUCCUCUGUCUCAUGGUGUGCUCCUUCUGGGGUGAAAGUCAUGGUAUCUGUGGCAGACAUGGAGAUGCAACCUCAGAUCUCCAAGAAAAGAUCGGUUACCCAGCUUCGAGGAGGAACCUCCCCUAGGUCUGGCACUGCUUUUGAGCCAUGACUCAAACAACUCAUUUCCUGGUCAGCAGAGCUGUGAUGGUAUAUGGCCAAAUGUGAAUGUAAUUUAUCAAAGAACAGAAGAAAGCAACAACCCUUUACCACGGGCCUGAGGAAGCCCUUCAUGGCUGGGCUUCUGAUCACCUCUUCCAUACUCACCAGUGGCACUAAAUCACUGCUAUUUCUCAAUGCUGCAUGACUUCCUCAAGCCCCCAUGUCUUUGCAUUUCUUCUACCUUCUGUCUUGACUUUCCAGCAGCAUCACCAAAAAAAAAUCAAGUGUCUGUUGGGGUGACAAUAAACUCAGCAGCAAGGAUGAUGGUAAGCCUUUUACAAUUACAGUGUCUGGAGAUAGCAGCAUGGAGCGCUAACGUCAAGACAACUGAAAAGUCAUCCCCUUUCAAGCAGUAAGACUUUCAAAAUCUUUAGUGAUUAUGGGUGGCUAUCAUUCCAAAGGCUUAAGCACAAUUCUGUUAUUUUAAACACAAUACCUCAAAUCUGAGUUAUUUAAAAAUAAAAC
rnacentral:lncRNA from 1 species